UUCCGCGUGCAGGACGAAGGCCUUCGGGUUGUAAACUGCUUUUGUACGGAACGAAAAGGUCUCUAUUAAUACUAGGGGCUCAUGACGGUACCGUAAGAAUAAGCACCGGCUAACUACGUGCCAGCAGCCGCGGUAAUACGUAGGGUGCAAGCGUUAAUCGGAAUUACUGGGCGUAAAGCGUGCGCAGGCGGUUAUAUAAGACAGAUGUGAAAUCCCCGGGCUCAACCUGGGAACUGCAUUUGUGACUGUAUAGCUGGAGUGCGGCAGAGGGGGAUGGAAUUCCGCGUGUAGCAGUGAAAUGCGUAGAUAUGCGGAGGAACACCGAUGGCGAAGGCAAUCCCCUGGGCCUGCACUGACGCUCAUGCACGAAAGCGUGGGGAGCAAACAGGAUUAGAUACCCUGGUAGUCCACGCCCUAAACGAUGUCAACUGGUUGUUGGGUCUUCACUGACUCAGUAACGAAGCU
rnacentral:rRNA from 1 species